GAUAAUCCGUAAAGGAGUCCUAGACCCCAUAUAGAAACAGAUCACCAGGCAAUAAUAAUAAUAGAUAAUUCUAAGAACUUUGAAACGACUGCGCAACCAAUUUAUGCACAAUUAUGCAUAACUGUCCAUUGAGUCAGAAAUGUCGCUUCGCUAAAAAGAAAACGAGAACUUUCUGACAAUUAAGUCCAGUGAAGUAAAACGAUUCUUUCAAAAUGAACGACGAGAAGAUUUGUUCAUUGGUUCGUACUUGCAUUUCCUACGGACAUCUUGGAUACUUGAAUUUAGACAAUCAAGAGUUAAUCUGCCUUUACAACGAAUGCCUAGCCAUAUCCGACCACUUUGGGGACAUCUUCAGUGGUGUUCAGUUAUGCAUGCUUCUUGGUGAGUUGAAAGGAAAAAAUUGUUUUGAAGAGUCUUCAAAAUAUCUAAACAAGAUGUUGAAAGUUUCAGAACGAAACGGUAACGAAGAAGAGCUAGCAAAUGCGUAUUUAUUGAUGGCAAAGAGAUCAUCCGAAUCUUUAUGUGAAUACGAAAAAGCCACUGAGUGUUGUAAUGAAGCCAUUAAGAUCUCAAAAAAUCUUGGUAUAAUUGCGAUUGAGGGACAUGCAUGCGGGAUCCUUGGAGGCAUUUAUAGCAAAUUGGGCAAACGCUCCGAACUGGAGGAAUGUUCAAAAAACUGCAUAAGAAUCGGCAAAGAAACAAGCAACGAGAAUUUAAAAGCCGUUGGCUACUUGUACUUAGGAACCGCCUAUACUGGCCUGGGUAGAUCGAUAGAAGCCAUUUCAUCUAUCCAAAAAAGUAUCGAAAUUGCUUUAAAAAUGGAUUACAAAGAGAUUUUAAGAAAAGCCUAUGGAAACCUCGCAACUGCUUAUUUCAGCAUACCUAAUUUUGCUCAGGCCAUGAAAUAUACGGAAAUGGACUUAAAUGCAAAAGAACAUAUUACCUCUGACAAAGAGGUAGAAAUUAUUUCUUGCCAGUCCAAGGGAAUUGUUUGCCGUUUGUCAUUGAAAUAUCAAGAGGCCGUAAAUCAUUAUCAAAAAGGCUUAAGCUUGUCCUUGGACAUAGGAGCCAAACAUAUUGCAGCGUAUUUUUAUAAAAAUUUGGGAGAAGUCUACUGGUUACAAUGCAAAUACCAUGAUUCCAAAAUAUAUUUUGAAAAAAGUAUCGAAGUCUUCAAAGACAUUGGAAACAGAUCUAAAGAAUGGCAAACAUAUCUGCGUUUUGCAAGAGUGUAUUUUUCUGUUGGAAAGUUCCAAGAGUUUCUUGAAUACACUAAAAAAAGCCUGACGAUCGCCAUCGAAAAGAAUAAUAAAAGGGCUCAAAUGCACUGCUAUAGAGCCUUCGGAAUCGUUCAUCAACAGUUAAAUAAAUAUGAAGAAGCACAGUCUUACCAUGUGAAGCACCUAUUGUGCACUUUUGCAAUUGGUGACAAGGUAGAAGGAGGAAAAGCUAUUUGCAAMAUUGGGGUUGUYUUGCUAGRAUCAGGCAAAACUGAAGCGGCUAUYCAAUGUUUCCAAGAGAGCCUAAAGAUUGCCAUAUCAUUGAAAGACAAGGAAGGAGAAGCAGCGUCCUAUACUCAGUUAGGAAAGGCAUACUUUUGUAUGAAGAGGUAUGACGAAGCCAUUAACUAUUUAGAAAUAAGUCUGGAUUUUGCAAAGAAUAUUGAUGAGAAAAAUCUUGGAGGAUGUGCUGGCUUCGAACUCGGAUUGGUAUACUACAGUCUAAGCAUGAAGUUUCAUGAGGAAGGUGAUGAAGAAAAAAGUAAAGAUGCAAAAACAAAGGCGGAAGAAAACUUAAAGAAGGCUUUGCAGUGUUGGGAAUGGGAACUGAAUCAUUUAAGGGAUCUAAAUGAUUUCAAGAUAUCCAUUGUCGAUACAUUCAUCGCAACCUACAAGCUUCUUACGAAAGUGCUAAUUGAACGUGGAAAAACGGAAGAGGCCUUGCUGAUAAGCGAUCGCGGGCGAGCGCGUUCAUUAGGAGAUAUUCUGGCUUCAAAGUAUGGUAUCACAGAAGCAAGAUACCCUAGCCAAACACCAUUUGAAAGCACUGAUCUAGAAAGUGUUUUAUCGAGUAAUCAAUUCUGCAUUCUCUUCUUUGCAAUAGGACAUAAACACUCGCAAAUCCAUGCUUGGGCGUUAACACAUAAGAAGCCCAUAGUUUACGUUAACAUUGACAGCCAAGCAUUGACUACAAUCGAAGGACUGCAGCUGGGAGAAAGAAGUCGCGAAAACCGAUCAUUAUUCAGUUUGCUGAUUACCCCUGUGAUUCAACACCUCCAACACGAAGAGAUCGUCAUCAUUCCUGAUGGACCUUUGUACAGGGUGCCAUUUGCAGCUUUGAAAGAUCCAAUUACAGAAAAAUUCCUAUCUGAAACAAAGCGUAUUCGUUUCUCGCCGUCACUAGCGACUUUGAAAGGUUUAAGAGAAUGUACUGUUGACUUCCACAGUAAAACAGGCGCGUUCAUAGUUGGAGACCCAGAUGUUGGAGACGUAGUUCUAAGGAGGGGAAAGACUUUACUCACUCGUCUUCCAUCUGCAAAGCGCGAGGCCAAAUAUAUUGGAGAACAAUUGGGUGCCGAGCCAUUAAUUGCAGCGCUAGCGACAAAGGAAAUGGUUAAACGAAAGUUGAAAGAGGGUGUUGCUGUCAUUCAUAUUGCAGCACAUGGAGACUCCGAACAUGGACACAUAGUCCUUGCCCCAUCACCAAGAACAGAUGCAACAGGUAUCCCAGGCGAACAAGACUACAUGUUAACAAUGCAGGAGGUACAAGAGAUUGGUGUUACAGCACAACUUGUUGUCCUAAGCUGCUGUUACAGUGGUCGUGGGGACAUCAGGGCAGAGGGAGUGGUUGGAAUGAGUCGAGCCUUUCUUGCUGCAGGAGCUCGUGCUGUUGUGGCGUCGUUGUGGGACAUUAACGACGAAGCUACAUUAGAUUUCAUGAAAAGCUUUUACGCGUCUCUAAGGAUGGGAAAAAGUGCAAGUAAAAGCCUACAAAUUGCCAUGGAUGACAUAAGAAGAGAAGAAAAUUUUGAAGACCCAAUGUACUGGGCUCCUUUCUUUCUUAUUGGUGAUGAUGUCACCAUCAGUGUAUGAGAAAUUAGAGAGAACCAAGAUUACAGUGAACCAAAGUACUGGACUCCUUUCUUUCUUAUUGGUGAUGAUGUCACCAUCAGUAUAUGAGAAAUGAGAGAGAACCAAGAUUACAGUGAACCAAAGUACUGGACCCCUUUCUUUCUUAUUGGUGAUGAUGUCACGAUCAGUGUAUGAGAAAUGAGAGAGAACCAAGAUUACAGUGAACCAAAGUAGUGGACUCCAUAUUAGUGAUGGUGUCAACAUCAGUGUAUAUGUUAGAGACAACGUUUGAACUUCGUUGUGCUUUAAUUAUUGUUGUAAGGACGGGGAUAAUUCGUAAAUGAAGCGGGAUUCCCUCGAGUGGGAAAGGUAAAGUGCUUUCUUAGAGCACGUAUUCGGUGCGGUAUGCCGUAACAUUGAUAUUGCUUAUCGUAGAAAUGUCCUAUGAUGCCUUGCUUAAUUAUAUGAUUUGUUUAGUAGUUAUAGAUUGUACUGUAUAUCAUUAAAUAUUCAUAGGCUUGGCAACCAAUAAGGUUUUUAUUUGGGUCACAUGGAUCUGUCUUGAAACCAGUUUAAACACUAGUUAAGGCAUUGAUGAUUGUAAUGAGAAUAAAAAUGUAUAUAUACCUACUUGCAAGAACGUUGUCAUACGAU